AGGUCGAUCCAGUCUGAGAGUCACAGUCCGGGCUCCUCCACAAAUCAUGGAGUCAACCAGGAUGAAACUCAUGUGUACGACUCUCUUCAACAUGGUACUGCUGACGUCUAUGAAUCAGUCACACAAGUCACAAAGAGAAAUGAUUCAUGCUUCACCAGGUCGAUCCAGUCUGAGAGUCACAGUCCGGGCUCCUCCACAAAUCAUGGAGUCAACCAGAAUGAAACUCAUGUGUACGACUCUCUUCAACAUGGUACUGAUGACGUCUAUGAAUCAGUCACACAAGUGAAAAACAGAAAUGGUUCAGAUGAAUAUGAUGACGUCACCUCAUCUCUUAUUGAGUUUAAAGAUCUUAGAACUAAGAAUACAGAGUCUGUCUGCGCCUUCUAAACAAAUCCUAUAAGGUGGGACAGGCAUGAGGGGCAGCCAGUGACCCCUCACACACGUCCUUAUGCUGAUAUCCAGACUUGUGACCAUGACACAAAACUACAGAGAGAAGUGGAUAAAAUCUCAUUGUUACUGGUUUUAGAAAUGCUUUACAAUAAUAAAAAAUACAUCAUUUAGAGUCAAAAUAUCAUAAAUGGUAACAAAUAUAACUGUUGUCUUCUGGUUACUCACAGUCCAAAUCAUCAUCUGCAUCAAUGAAUGUCAGUGAGGCGUCCUGAAAGUCGUCACGUCUCCUGUUCAGUUACCGUCUCUGAGAAUCACUCUGCUCUCCAAUCAAAUCACUUUCUUCUGUUUAUCCUCUGAGUUGCUCUUUGAUGGUUAUGAAUCGUUGCUCUUCUUUAAACUGUGAAGUCGUUCCUGUACUUGGGAGACAUUUCUCUUUUGUUCUGGUAUCAAAUUGCUUCGUGUUUGCUGAACGUAACCGUCUUUCUGUUCACCUGUCAAACUGUUGCUCAUGUUUCCAGAGCAGCUUUUCUUCUGCUCAGACUUAAAAAAUGUUCAAUAAGUUUUGUUUUGUCGAUUUGCCAAAUUGUUGCUCAGUUAUUGAGAAUACCUUUUUUUCUGUUCUGUAGACAUUAAUUUGCUCUUGUUUAGUUGUCAAGUUGCUGCACAGUUGGUUUGAGUCGAAGUUAAUCUCAGUUGACAGGUUGCUUUGCAGUUUUGAAAAAAAAAAUUCUCCUCUGAUAAGUUGUCAAACUGUCUUUCAGAAUAAUUUAUUCUCAGUUUUCUGUUUAGACUUUUUCUCAGACGUCUGAUUUUCGCCUCUUCUGUUCAGUCACUCAUCUUCUGCUCAGACUGUCUGUGUGUGUGUGUGUGUGUGCGUGUGUGUGUGCGUGUGCGUGCGUGUGCGUGUGUGUGUGUAUGUAGGUGCAUGUGUGUGUUUCCAGCUAUACCAUACAUAGACAUGCGAUCUUUCAAUGAACUUAAACCGUGUGUAUGAGGUUUGCAGAAAAGCAGAAAUAAGCACCUUGCUAAACUAUAAAAACAGGAACUUGUAAGAGGUCAUGUCUCAAACAAACAUUUAAAGGUGUGAAGUCUUGCACUUAUAAAGAAACAGAACCUGGUGCUUUCCUAAUGUAUAACAUAGCUCAUCUCUGGACUAAGCUGCACUCUAAAUAAAGCACAUUUUGUCAGCACAGACACAGAUAAAGGAAAUAGUAGAAGGUUGAAAAUAAAUCCUCUGACUGUCUGGCUUUUUCUUCAUAAUGAAGCCAUAUUAGGACACAUAAAGGCGAUGAUUAUAUAUCUAUAUAUUAUAGCACAAAUGACAAUAUAAAAAACAUCAAUUCCAACAAAAUCUGCC
ensembl:lncRNA